rnacentral:rRNA from 1 species
GAUGAACGUUGGCGGCGUGCUUAACACAUGCAAGUCGAACGGAAAGGCCCAAGCUUGCUUGGGUACUCGAGUGGCGAACGGGUGAGUAACACGUGGGUGAUCUGCCCUGCACUUCGGGAUAAGCCUGGGAAACUGGGUCUAAUACCGGAUAGGACCACUUCUUGGAUGUUGUGGUGGAAAGUUUUUUCGGUGUGGGAUGAGCUCGCGGCCUAUCAGCUUGUUGGUGGGGUAAUGGCCUACCAAGGCGUCGACGGGUAGCCGGCCUGAGAGGGUGUACGGCCACAUUGGGACUGAGAUACGGCCCAGACUCCUACGGGAGGCAGCAGUGGGGAAUAUUGCACAAUGGGCGCAAGCCUGAUGCAGCGACGCCGCGUGGGGGAUGACGGCCUUCGGGUUGUAAACUCCUUUCGCUAGGGACGAAGCGUUUUGUGACGGUACCUGGAGAAGAAGCACCGGCUAACUACGUG